UACGUAGGGUGCAAGCGUUGUCCGGAAUUAUUGGGCGUAAAGAGCUCGUAGGCGGUUUGUCGCGUCUGCUGUGAAAACUCGGGGCUCAACCCCGAGCUUGCAGUGGGUACGGGCAGACUAGAGUGCGGUAGGGGAGACUGGAAUUCCUGGUGUAGCGGUGGAAUGCGCAGAUAUCAGGAGGAACACCAAUAGCGAAGGCAGCUCGCUGGGACGUUACUGACACUGAGGCGCGAAAGCGUGGGGAGCGAACAGG
rnacentral:rRNA from 1 species